rnacentral:lncRNA from 1 species
UUUGGUGCUAUCGAGUUUUCUACCGUUAAAUUUAACCAUUUGAUUAUUUUUAUCCGUUAGAUUAUACUAUUCAACCAACCACGCACUCAACCCUAGGAGGCCCACAUCAUCCUAACCGCACAUUUCUCAAUCCAAUGGCUAAAAAACUAAAAACUAUUAACACAAAUAGCUUGGUGCUAUUGAUACUCUUCCGGCCUAGUUCUAUAUAUAUAUAUAUAUAUAUAUAUAUAGAACUUGGCUAGAAUAUUAUUAAUAGCACCAAUAAUUUGGUGCUAUUAAGUUUUUCGCUCUUGGAUUAAAAGAUGUGCGGUUAGGAUGAUGUGAGCCUUCUAGGGUUGAGUGAGUGGUUGGUUGAAUAGUAUAAUCUAACGGGUAAAAAUAAUCAAAGGGGUUAAUCUAACGGCAGAAAACUUAAUAGCACCAAGUGCUUCGUGCUAUCAAUAGCAUAGCAGCCGGACUAUAUAUAUAUAUAUAUACGAGCUAAGCUCCUGAAAUAUCUAUAGUAUCGUGAUUCUGGUACUAAAGUCUCAUUUUUAAUUUUAGGAUGUUAAAAUCAAUUAAAACUGAUCUAGGAUAUUUGAAGUUUUUAGAAAUAAAAUUUUAUAUUUUUUCAACAUAAUUUAUUUUAUGUCAAAUCAUUUCAAAAUUAUCAAUUUUCAAUGACUAUUAUAACAAGUUUGUAAUUUAACGAUGAAAAAAAAAUCUAAAUUUGUUCGAUUUUUGAUAGAAAUAUUUUAAACUAUCUAAAUCAAGCUCAGUAUCCUUCUUGAUCUUGAAUCCAAAAGUUCUAUCCUCAAAUUUUAAAGAUUAUUUAAUUUUCAUCAUUCGUUUUAAUAUGAUUUACUUAUUAAAUAAAUAAUAUUGUGAAAAAAAAAAUAAAAUUUUAUUCUUAAGAACUUCAUAUAUCUAGAUCAUAUUUAAUAGUGUGGAUCGUUAAUUUAAACACUCUAAGAUAAAAAUAAAAUUAUUGUACCGGAGCUACGGUACGUAUACCUCAUUCUAUACAUAAUAACUAGCUCUAGGCUUUGUGAAGCAUUAUCGUUAAGUAACAACUAUCAAAUUCUUAGCCAAUUGUACUAUAGAUGGUCUGAUCAGACUUCGCAAAUUAUUGCAUUGAAUUAAAUUUCACAACCAGUUUUAGUUGACUUAAUGUUGGCAUGUCACUAAUAUACAAAUGAUACAACAUCGUAAUCAUCGUUACGUCUAUUCGUAAAUAGGCCAGCAUUCUGCCUAAAUGGGGGAGAUUGGAUCAGACCAGGUCAUAAUCGAUACGAAUGAACGUUGUAUUUAUACAAUUAAGUGAAUUGAUUGCACAUUUUCUAAUAGUUCUAGAUUUUAGAAUUGCGGUCAAUACUGAUGAUCGAACAAAUGGUAUCAAAAUAAGUCACGGAUUCGAUUUC